rnacentral:rRNA from 1 species
UACAGAGGUCCCAAGCGUUGUUCGGAUUCAUUGGGCGUAAAGGGUGCGUAGGUGGCGCUGUAAGUCGGGUGUGAAAUUUCGGAGCUUAACUCCGAAACUGCAUUCGAUACUGCGGUGCUUGAGGACUGGAGAGGAGACUGGAAUUCAUGGUGUAGCAGUGAAAUGCGUAGAGAUCAUGAGGAAGACCAGUGGCGAAGGCGGGUCUCUGGACAGUUACUGACACUGAGGCACGAAGGCCAGGGGAGCAAACGGG